ACCUGGAUGGCUCAGUUGGUUGAGCAUCUGACUUUGGCUCAGGUCAUGAUCUUCUGACUCGUGGGUUCAAGCCCCACAUCGGGCU
rnacentral:tRNA from 1 species